rnacentral:rRNA from 1 species
AUUGAACGCUGGCGGCAGGCCUAACACAUGCAAGUCGAGCGGAUGAAGGGAGCUUGCUCCUGGAUUCAGCGGCGGACGGGUGAGUAAUGCCUAGGAAUCUGCCUGGUAGUGGGGGAUAACGUCCGGAAACGGGCGCUAAUACCGCAUACGUCCUGAGGGAGAAAGUGGGGGAUCUUCGGACCUCACGCUAUCAGAUGAGCCUAGGUCGGAUUAGCUAGUUGGUGGGGUAAAGGCCUACCAAGGCGACGAUCCGUAACUGGUCUGAGAGGAUGAUCAGUCACACUAGAACUGAGACACGGUCCAGACUCCUACGGGAGGCAGCAGUGGGGAAUAUUGGGCAAUGGGCGGAAGCCUGAUCCAGCCAUGCCGCGUGUGUGAAGAAGGUCUUCGGAUUGUAAAGCACUUUAAGUUGGGAGGAAGGGCAGUAAGUUAAUACCUUGCUGUUUUGACGUUACCAACAGAAUAAGCACCGGCUAACUUCGUG